CCCUAAUCAUCAGCUGCUGUCCAUCACUACUGCCUCCACUCUGCUGCUGCUGAGCUUGUUGUUUCAGCGAACAGCAAAUGUUAUAAAGAAUUAUUGUGGACGGUUCAAACACCCACCUGGAGCUGCAGGUUGAGGCCUUAGACCCAUUUGACCAGAGUGAAUAAGGUGCCAGUGAAAUGGAUGAAGAGGAGAUCUGUGCCUAAACAGGAAAAGAACCAACAGAACCAGAUCAAUAUGUGACUAAAGUCAAUGGAAACUUUGUAUUCAAAACACCUUGCUUGUGCAACAUUAAAAGCAAUAUAAAAAUAUAUAUACAAGUAUGAAUUAGCUGUAAAGCAGAUUUAUAUUGUUGUGAACACGUCUUUGACCUUACUAAACUUCGCUAUGAAUGGAUGGAUGCCUUAUGCAAGAGUUAUAGUUUCUCUGGAGGACAGAAAUGAGUCUCAAGCGGGAAGCUUUCCCAGUUAUUUUACAGCCUGUUCAUCCCACUGUCACUUGAGAAUCUUAAAAAAACAACUGAGAAAUAUGUUGAAUGCUUAAUGCUUUAAUGCAUUCUAUGUUGUCAACAAAGUUCUGUGAAACCUAUUUAGUUUGUUGCAGCAUUUUAGUUGAUGAUGUUCACAUUUCUGUGCUAAUGACUGAACACGUCGCUUGUCUUUUAGAAAAACUGACCAGUGCAGUGCAGUAAUUAGUUUUGACAAGAACCAUAUCAAGGGUGAAAUGCAUAUGAGAAGACUAAAUAUGUGUGAACAAUUGUGGGAUUCAAAAGUGUGAGGCUUCAGAAAAUCAAAUGGAAGGUCCAGCAUCAACACUUUAUGAAUAAAAUACAAACAACAAAAAACUCAAUCUUUCAUAGUUCUCUGCAAGUCGUAUUUGUUGGUUUCACGACAAUAUAGGAACUGCCAAUUAGGGUUUCCCUUUUCACAUUUAUUUCAUAGCAUGUCAAAACUGGAAAAAUAAAAUCAACACUGUCACUUCAGUGAUGGUA